GACGAACGCUGGCGGCGUGCUUAACACAUGCAAGUCGAACGGAAAGGCCCUGCUCUUGUGGGGUGCUCGAGUGGCGAACGGGUGAGUAACACGUGAGUAACCUGCCCUUGACUUUGGGAUAACUUCAGGAAACUGGGGCUAAUACCGGAUAGGAGCUCCUGCUGCAUGGUGGGGGUUGGAAAGUUUCGGCGGUUGGGGAUGGACUCGCGGCUUAUCAGCUUGUUGGUGGGGUAGUGGCUUACCAAGGCUUUGACGGGUAGCCGGCCUGAGAGGGUGACCGGCCACAUUGGGCCUGAGAUACGGCCCAGACUCCUACGGGAGGCAGCAGUGUGAAAUAUUGCACAAUGGGCGGGAGCCUGAUGCAGCAACGCCGCGUGCGGGAUGACGGCCUUCGGGUUGUAAACCGCUUUCGCCUGUGACGAAGCGUGAGUGACGGUAAUGGGUAAAGAAGCACCGGCUAACUACGUG
rnacentral:rRNA from 1 species